AGGAAGACUUGCCCUGAGCUAACAUCUGUUGCCAAUCUUUUCUUUUUUUUUUUUUUGCUUUAGAGGAAGAUUAGCCCUGAGCUAACAUCUGAGCCAAUCUUCCUCUAUUUUGUAUGUGGGUUUCCACCACAGCAUGGCUGAUGAGUGGGUUAGGUCCACACCCGGGAUCUGAACCCAAGAAUCCAGGCCACCAAAGCAGAGCACACUGAACUUAACCACAGUGCCACAGGUUCGGCCCUUGUAAAAGUUUAAAUUUAAACAAUAGAAUCACAAGAAUAUUAGAGUAGAUCUGAGUGCUACAAUUUAUUUUAACUUCAUUUUUGAAAAGCACAUAAUGGAAAUAUAGAAAUAAUAGACUUUCCAAUAGACUAACCCUUUUGAAUUAGUAAGACCAAUAAAAUGUUUAAGUUUCACCAUUUUCACUCACAUUUUCCUGACACGGGUUCAUUUUUUUAAAACUAUUGGAAGAGAGGUAUGCCAUACUUGGUUUGGAACAGAAAGAACAGAGUCCUGGAGUCAUCAGUGCAUGACUCGGAGGGAGAGGCCAGGCUGUGGCGCUCAAUCUGAAGUUGCAGAAAAGCAAGAUAGACUUUUGUAAUGAAGCCUUAUGCUUAAGGAAAAACUCUUUGAGAUCAGUUGUGUGGAAGAGAAACUCUAUAGGUUGAGCCCAUUUAUUCCAGGGAUACAGAAUUUACUCACCUAGACCUGUGCCAAAAUAGGACCUCUGUUCCUUGUCCUGUCUCAUGGCAGUUCUGGUUCUUCCAAAGAAUUUAGGCCUCUCACUCUCACAGGUGAGGAUGCUUCAGUUGUGGUGUCUGAAUUAGAGAUGUGUCUCUGAUCUUUAAUUUCCCUUGCUUGGAAAAAAUAAAAAUUCCUCGAGACGUUAUCUAAGAUCACUCAUUAAACUUAAUCUUCUCAGAGGAUCCAGUUGCCCCUUCUCCCCCUGACCACCUGGAAUGAGGACAGAUCUGGAACCAAAAGAAUCUAACAUGUAUAAAAUCAGACUGAUGGUUUGACAAGCAUGUCAGUUGUCACGAACCUCGGCUCUCCCAUUGUGCAGCUGAUUGGAUUAGUGGACACUUUCACUCACGUCAGUAGAAGACACUUCGCGGCUCUGCCUGUAUAGUAGACAUAGCACCUUCGGAGAGCAGUUAAUUUGGAACAGUGAAGGAACAGGGGAUAGGAAGGUGCUACAAGAAAAAAACCUGUUCACUAGAGGAUCUCACUUUUCCUGUUCUCCCGUAAUAUGGACAAGGUGUUUCUGAGCUUGGGCUCUCCACCUGCGCAGAAUGGAGUUCCUGUAGUGUGGCUCAAGGGCGAGGAAAGAAGAACUAAGCUUCAGAGAGACCACAGCUAUUGUCCUUCUGCCCUGGAAUUCUUUCUGCAACAGUCUCAAGAGUUUCUCUGGGCAUCUGCAGUUGAAACGCAUCCACUGUAAACAAAAUAUCUCAAAAUGGUAGAAUACAUUGGCACGAAAAGAGAAAAAACUUCUUCCUAGGAGAAAUGAUAUGCUAAAACCCUUGGAAGCAUUUAUGUCAUUUAAGAGGGACCAGUGGGUCUAGAGCCUAAGCAAAGAUAUAGUAAGAUUAACAGAAAUUGUCAGCUGGAAACAAGAACUAGAAUAAAAGAUAAAAUUUAAUUCAAAGAAUUUGUACAUCAGCCCUUAGUUAAAGUGCCUUCAGAUGCAUUAGUCCUAAGCUGUCAAAAAUUCAUUGAGCAGCAGACUGGUGAGCUAAUAAAAAUGCGCCUAUUUGCAGGCUGUGAAAGAAGGUAACUCUUCCCUUUUCAUAUCUUAACUGUGGCCUUUCUAUCGUCUACUUAUAUAUGUAAAUCAUUUGACUCUAUUACUAGAGACAUAAUCACCUGAAUUCUCGGACUCCACUGCCCAGAAUUUAUUCCUUUUUAUGAUUUUCUUCUUUAGAUUAUAUAAUAUUCUGCUUAUAUCCUAAU
rnacentral:lncRNA from 1 species